rnacentral:lncRNA from 1 species
CAUAUAUCUCAACCAAAUUUCAUUCACAUACCCAAAAUUCAUUCCCCCAUCUCUCUCUAUCCACCACACACAUCCCUAUUCAUUAUCAAGCGACCACUUUACACAGCCGGCAACCACAACACACAAUGGCAUAGCAGCGACAGUGGAGUUGGGUGCAGAUCAUCGACGCGAGCACUGUACGAAAGCGGUGACGGUGCUGGGCGAAGAAGAUAUGCUAGAAUCGUUAUUAGCAAUCGCGUUGAAGAAUGGUGGUUUGUUAUGAGAUCGUGGUGGUUUUGCAAAUGGAUUCCGUGUUAGUUUGUCGAGACCAUGAUGGUUUCUUGUUGGUAGGUCUGUGAAGGAGUGUUGGUGGAAAAUCGUACUUGUGUGGUGAUGAUGGCAGUGAUAGUGUUGCAACGACAACGACGAUGAGAUGAUGGCGACUAUGGAUCUAAUUUGUUGGUGGUGAGCUGGUGGUGGCAACGCUAGUUAUGUUGGUGAAGUGACGAUUCUAAUAAAGUUGUAAUGGUGGUGGUGGUCAUAAAUUACGAUACUGGUGAGGUAGUGUUGAUGGUGGCAGUGUGGUUGUAAGGUGUUUGGGGCAACGACGACGGUGGUCACAAAUUAUUUGAUUUAUUGUUAUCAAUAAAUUGGAUAAUGUGUGAUCAAUGAAAUAGAUAAUUUGUGUCUAACAAAUAAUAUGUGACCUAAAAAAAUAAUUUGUGACUAAUUAAUUAGAUAUUUUGUAAUCAUAAAAUAAGUUGUGACUUAUGAAAUUUAUGAUUUGUGACUAAUGAAUAAUAUGUAAC